rnacentral:tRNA from 1 species
GGGCCCGUAGCUCAGUUGGUAGAGCAGUUGACUCUUAAUCAAUUGGUCGUAGGUUCGAGUCCUACCGGGCCCA